ACCGCGAAGCAGUAAAACACAGUUUGAUCAUUACCAUUUCUCUUCUCUUCAUAAAAAUACAGAGUUUGUUUUAUUUUACUUAUUAAUUUCAUUUCAUGUGAAAACCGAAGAAGAAGAAGAAAAAGUCAGCACCAAUAAUCUUAUUUCUUCUUCUUCUUCUACUUCUUCUUCCUUACAGGUUCAUAGUUUCUAAUUCAUUCUUUUUGAUCAUUUAUCUCGACUGUAUACGUUGAGAUAUACGGUCAGUUUGACAUAAGUAAGUUUGGUAGAGGAUUGUUUUGGAUCAGGAAAAACAAUUGGAAGCUCGGUAAAUGGCGCUGUUUAGAAGAUUGUUUUAUAAGAAUCCUCCGGAUGGCUUAAUGGAGAUCUCUGGAAGAGUCUAUGUGUUCGAUUCUUGCCUCUCUACUGAUGUUAUGGAAAAGGAUAACUACAAGAAGUACAUGGAUGGUAUCGUGGCCCAACUUCAGGACCACUUUCCAGAUGCCUCUUACAUGGUAUUUAAUUUUAGGGAGGGAGAAAUGAGAAGCCAGAUUUCUGAUAUAUUAUCUGAGUACGAUAUGACGGUUAUGGAUUAUCCUCGGCAAUAUGAAGGGUGUCCUCUCUUACCGCUCGAGAUGACUGACCAUUUCCUGAGAUCAAGUGAGAGUUGGUUGUCGUUGGAAGGUCCACAGAAUGUUCUGCUGAUGCAUUGUGAAAGAGGAGGGUGGCCUGUGCUCGCAUUCACGCUUGCUGCUCUCCUUCUAUACAGAAAACAGUAUACGGGGGAGCAGAAAACCCUUGAGAUGGUAUAUAAGCAAGCUCCUAAGGAACUCCUCCAUCUCAUGUCUCCUUUAAACCCACAUUAACCUUCCCAACUGAGAUAUCUACAGUACAUCUCUAGGAGAAAUCUCGACUCAUGGCCUCCAGCUGAUACAUCUUUGGCCUUGGAUAGCCUCAUUCUCAGAGGACUUCCAGUAAUUAAUGGUGAAAGGAGUUGUAGGCCUAUAGUUCGUGUUCAUGGCCAGGAUCCAUCUACUGCAGCUAGCAGAAGUUCUCAAGUUCUGUUUUCAACUCCAAAGACAAAGAAGCAUGUUCGUCACUACAAACAGGCAGAAAAUACGCCCGUGAAGGUAGAUAUUCAUUGCCGUGUUCAAGGUGAUGUAGUUCUUGAAUGCAUACAUUUGGAUGAGGAUAUGGUACGCGAGGAAAUGAUGUUCAGGCUUAUGUUUAACACGUUGUUUGUUCGAUCAAAUGCCUUACUGCUCAGCCGGGAGGAUAUCGACAUUUUGUGGGAUGCAAAGGAACAGUUCCCUGAAGACUUUAAAGUAGAGGUACUCUUUUUGGACCCUGAUAUUCUUGGGUCUACCACUGGCAUAGAAGCGGCAAGUGGAGACGAGGAUGAGACUGAAGGUGGAGCAGAGGAGUUCUUUGAGAGGGAGGAAGUUUUCAGCAAUGCUGAUGGGCACUAAAGAUAUGGUCCGCCUUCUUCAUCAAAAAUAAAAGUAUAUUUUUACCGGGAGUCUUCAAAGGUGAUCCCGGUCGUCCAGCUCGAGCAUGCAAGGUUAAGACUUGAGAGUCUCCAGCUCGAGCAUGUAAGAUUAAGACCCCACCUAAAACCAGACAAAAUUAAGUACUGAACCAUACGAUUGCCUCCACUAGACACUGGCUUAAGUUUCCUAAUUAAAAUUUGUUGGACCCACAUUCUACUAUCCCGAUGAAUGAUUUCGAUUUUUUUAGCUGCAUCAUCGCUUGGUGAUACUAUUUGAUGAAUGUUAAUAUAAGCCAAGAACAAAGACCCCAUGCUCAUCAUAAACCACCGGAAAUUAUUUGUUGGAUC